rnacentral:rRNA from 1 species
AAAGCGUGCGCAGGCGGUUAUAUAAGACAGAUGUGAAAUCCCCGGGCUCAACCUGGGAACUGCAUUUGUGACUGUAUAGCUAGAGUACGGUAGAGGGGGAUGGAAUUCCGCGUGUAGCAGUGAAAUGCGUAGAUAUGCGGAGGAACACCGAUGGCGAAGGCAAUCCCCUGGACCUGUACUGACGCUCAUGCACGAAAGCGUGGGGAGCAAACAGGAUUAGAUACCCCUGU